GCUGGGUGUGGUGGUGCACACCUGUAGUCCCAGCUGCUUGGGAGGCUGAGGCAGGAGAAUCGCUUGAACCCAGGAGGCGAAGGUUGCAGUGAGCCAAGAUUGUGCCACUGCAGUCCAGCCUGGGCAACAGAGUAAGACUCUGUCUCAA
ensembl:misc_RNA Metazoa_SRP Metazoan signal recognition particle RNA